rnacentral:lncRNA from 1 species
UGAAGUGUUUGGGAACAGUACAUUUUUGAAGAGGAUUAUAAUGAAAACUGAGAUUGACAAUUUAGAGGAAACAUCUCCCGACACAAGCCUCAGAAAGCCCUCCUGGAAGAUGGUUGAUUAGAGUUGGAUCUUGAACAAUGGACAAUGGAUACGAUUUCUACUGAGGAGGACUAAGAAGGUCAUUUAAAGAAGAAAGUAUAACUACAGUAAG